GGCGGGGUCUCCAACCUGCCGCUCAGGUUCCUCCGGGCCCCGCCCGGCCCGGCCCGCUGAGCCCGGACGCCGCCCGGCCAGGCGCCGACAGACGGCGGACGGAAGGACGGAAGGACGGCCGUGGGGCCCAGGGCGACAGAGCAGGUGUGGGCACUAGGCCCCGGACUCAGGCCUCACUGAGGUCUGCCCUGCAUUGCCAGCCACCACCAGGGACACCAUGAGCCAGUCGGGGUCCGUGAGCUGCUACCCGGGUGCUGCCAACGGCAGCCUGGGCCAGUCUGACAGUGUGUCCAAGAUGAGUGCCAAGGACCUGUUUGAGCAGAGAAAGAAGUACUCCAACUCGAAUAUCAUCAUGCACGAGACAUCCCAGUAUCACGUCCAGCACUUGGCCACAUUCAUCAUGGACAAGAGUGAAGCCAUCGUGUCUGUGGAUGACGCUAUCCGGAAGCUGGUGCAGCUGAGCUCCAAGGAGAAGGUCUGGAUGCAGGAGAUGCUGCUGCAGGUCAGCGACCAGUCCCUGCGACUGCUGGACGUGGAGUCCCAGGAGGAGCUGGAGAACUUCCCACUGCCCACCGUGCGGCACAGCCAGACGGUGCUGAACCAGCUGCGCUACCCGUCGGUGCUGCUGCUCGUGUGCCAGGACUCCGAGCAGAGCAAGCCCGACAUCCACUUCUUCUACUGCGACGAGGUGGAGGCGGAGCUGGUGCAUGAGGACAUCGAGAGCGCGCUGGCCGACUGCCGGCUGGGGAAGAAGAUGCGGCCUCAGACCCUGAAGGGCCACCAGGAGAAGAUCCGGCAACGGCAGUCAGUCCUGCCACCUCCCAUGGGCCCGGCCCCCAUCCCCUUCCAGCACCUGGGCGGGGGCUCCCCCUCCAGGAACCGAGUGGGCCCACCUGUGCCGCUCAGCGAGCCAGGCUUCCGCCGCCGGGAGUCGCAGGACGAGGAGCCGCGGGCCGUGUUGGCUCAGAAGAUAGAGAAGGAAACGCAAGUCCUCAACUGUGCCCUGGACGACAUCGAGUGGUUCGUGGCUCGGCUGCAGAAGGCGGCUGAGGCUUUCAAGCAGCUGAAACAGCGCAAGAAGGGGAAGAAGAAGGGGAAGAAAGGACCUGCGGAGGGCGUCCUCACACUGCGGGCGCGGCCCCCUUCCGAGGCUGAGUUUGUUGACUGCUUCCAGAAAAUCAAGCUAGCCAUCAACCUGCUGGCCAAGCUGCAGAGGCACAUCCAGAACCCCAGCGCGGCUGAGCUCGUGCACUUCCUCUUCGGGCCUCUGGACCUGAUUGUCAGCACCUGUGGUGGUCCAGACAUUGCACGCUCAGUGUCCAGUCCCCUACUGUCCCAAGAUGCUGUGGGCUUCCUGCGUGGCCACCUAGUCCCCAAGGAAACGGCCCUGUGGGAGUCGCUGGGGGAGACCUGGACACGCCCCCGCUCCGAGUGGCCACAGGAGCCGCAGGUGCCCCUCUAUGUGCCCACGUUCCACAACGGCUGGGAGCCACCCAUGGACGUGCUGCAGGAGGCUCCCUGGGAAGUGGAGGGGCAGGUGUCCACCCCUGAGGAUGAGCCAACUCCAGUGAGCCGACCAUCUUUUCGAAACUCCAUGAAGCACAGCCUUGUGUCUGAGCCCACACCCCCCGGGGAUGUCUCACCAGGCAGCUCCCCACAUGCUCACAGGGGCUACGAGUCCGUGCCCACCAUGGCCAAGUACGUGAAGAUCCUCUACGACUUCACAGCCCGCAACGCCAGCGAGCUGUCGGUGCUCAGGGACGAGGUCCUGGAGGUGCUCGAGGAUGGUCGCCAGUGGUGGAAGCUUCGCAAUCGCAGUGGCCAGGCAGGCUAUGUGCCCUGCAACAUCCUGGAUGAGGUCCAGCCAGAGGACGCCCACCUGGAGCAGGGGACAGAAAGUGGAGCGGGCCGCGGAGGGCGGUGGAGGUGGUCUGUAUGCACAAGUAGGCUACAUCGAAUGACCAGCCGGGGCUGGGGGUGCCCCCACCCUCUUGCCUCUCCCCCCACCCCUGCAGGCCAGCCAGAAAUACUGGGGUGCCGCCAGUCCCACCCACAAGCUGCCCCCAAGCUUCGCAGGGGGCAAGGACGAGCUGAUCCAGCACAUGGACGAGGUCAACGACGAGCUCGUCAGGAUCAUCAGCCACAUCAAGACGCAGCCACCCCAGCGGCACUUCCGCGUGGAGCGCAGCCAGCCGGUGCGCCAGCCGCUCACGUACGAGUCGGGCCCCGAAGAGGUCCGCGCCUGGCUGGAAGCCAAGGCCUUCAGCCCCCGCAUCGUGGAGAACCUGGGCAUCCUGACUGGGCCCCAGCUCUUCUCGCUCAACAAGGAGGAGCUGAAGAAGGUGUGCGGUGAGGACGGCGUCCGCGUGUACAGCCAGCUCACCGUGCAGAAGGCCUUCCUGGAGACGCAGCAAGGUGGAUCAGAGCUGGAGGAGCUUAUGAGCAGGUUUCACUCCAAGAACCAGAGGAGGGUAGAGGAAGACAGCUAGACCUGGCCCUGGGGCACCACGCCUGCAGCCCGGUCGCACCCGUGCCGGGGCCACCCCCCACUGCAAGGGCCAUUAUUCUCUAUGUGGAUGUACUUGGCAUCGUGGACACCAAAGGAGUUUGGGGUAGGCUGGGGGCCUGUUCUGAAGUUCAGCAAUGCCUCUGCCUCCACCUGCCCCUAGGCCCACCUCAGCCAAACUUGCCACCUGGGGGGACCAGCCCCUCAUCCUCCUGCCCCUGUGGCCAGAGUCGUGGCUGUCCCCAAACCCGCCCAGCCCCUUUCUUCCUCUAACAACCCCUCCCUGAGGCCACAGAGCCUUCUCCUCUGGCGUCGCCACCCACACGGGGGUUCCAUCUGGUGCCUGUGACCCUGGCCCCUAUCCCUGCCCCCUGCAGCUGCUCACCACUGCUCCCCCUGACCCCCUACUCCUCCAGGCCAGGACAGCGGACCUCAGCACCCAGCCACUCUGGGCUCCAAGCUGGCCGGGCUGGUGACCCGAGCCCCCAGAUAUUGGGGUUACCCCUAUCCACUGCACUGCUCCCUAGGGGUGGCCUGGAGGGUUCCCAGCUCCACUGGGGUGCAUGCUAUAUUCCCUUCACUCAUCAAGGAGCCAGGAUGGACUCAGUCACCCUCACCCGAGAACUGGCCGUGGACACCCUCCCCCACUCCCAUCCCUCUCCCCUCGGCAGAGCCCAAGAAAAGAACUUUCUCUGACCCGUUCUCAGGCCAGGCUUGCCCUGCAUGCUGUGUGGGUGGUGGGUGAAUCUGGAGCCCUGGACUCUGCAGGUCACACCCCAAGAUGAGUGGUGAUGGAGGCUCAGAGGCUGUGUCAUUAAACCAAUUAAGUCCAAUAGCA